rnacentral:rRNA from 1 species
GAUGAACGCUGGCGGCGUGCCUAAUACAUGCAAGUCGAGCGAACAGACGAGGAGCUUGCUCCUCUGACGUUAGCGGCGGACGGGUGAGUAACACGUGGAUAACCUACCUAUAAGACUGGGAUAACUUCGGGAAACCGGAGCUAAUACCGGAUAAUAUAUUGAACCGCAUGGUUCAAUAGUGAAAGACGGUUUUGCUGUCACUUAUAGAUGGACCCGCGCCGCAUUAGCUAAUUGGGAAGGUAACGGCUUACCAAGGCAACGAUGCGUAGCCGACCUGAGAGGGUGGUCGGCCACACUGGCACUGAGACACGGUCCAGACUCCUACGGGAGGCAGCAGUAGAGAAUCUUACGCAAUGGGCGAAAGCCUGACGGAGCAACGCCGCGUGAGUGAUGAAGGUCUUCCGAUCGUAAAACGCUGUUAUUAGGGAAGAACAAAUGUGUAAGUAACUGUGCACGUCUUGACGGUACCUAAUCAGAAAGCCACGGCUAACUACGUG